rnacentral:rRNA from 1 species
UGGGGAAUAUUGCACAAUGGGCGAAAGCCUGAUGCAGCAACGCCGCGUGAGUGAUGAAGGUCUUCGGAUUGUAAAGCUCUGUCUUUUGGGACGAUAAUGACGGUACCAAAGGAGGAAGCCACGGCUAACUACGUGCCAGCAGCCGCGGUAAUACGUAGGUGGCAAGCGUUGUCCGGAUUUACUGGGCGUAAAGGGUGCGUAGGCGGAUGUUUAAGUGAGAUGUGAAAUACCCGGGCUUAACUUGGGUGCUGCAUUUCAAACUGGAUAUCUAGAGUGCAGGAGAGGAGAAUGGAAUUCCUAGUGUAGCGGUGAAAUGCGUAGAGAUUAGGAAGAACACCAGUGGCGAAGGCGAUUCUCUGGACUGUAACUGACGCUGAGGCACGAAAGGCGUGGGUAGCAAACAGGAUUAGAUA